rnacentral:misc_RNA from 1 species
AGGGGAGCAAAAUUGAUAUUACAUUCAAUAGAAAUUCUUUCUAAAACGAUAUAAAACACAAAGAUCACUGAAUGAGAUUUAUUAAGAAUCCUUGGGAAAAAAAAUUUCCAAGGAAUCAUUUUCCAAUGUUGCUGUCAUUUUACAUUAGGUCACAAAAUUACUUCUAACAAUAAUCUUGCCUAGUCUAUAAAUGAUGCCACGCCUUAAAUUACAAACUCAGAAAUAUAAAUAAAUCCAAGUCAC